rnacentral:rRNA from 1 species
GACGAACGCUGGCGGCGUGCCUAACACAUGCAAGUCGAGCGUGAAAGGAGCUUCGGCUCCGAGUAAAGCGGCGAACGGGUGAGUAACACGUGGGCAACCUGCCCUGAGGACUGGGAUAACCCUCGGAAACGGGGGCUAAUACCGGACGUACUUGCAUCACAUAAGUGGUGCAUGUAAAGGUAGCUUCGGCUUCUGCCUCAGGAUGGGCCCGCGGCCUAUCAGCUUGUUGGUGAGGUAAUGGCUCACCAAGGCUACGACGGGUAGCUGGUCUGAGAGGACGAUCAGCCACACUGGGACUGAGACACGGCCCAGACUCCUACGGGUGGCUG